UACGGGGGGAGCAAGGCGUUGUUCGGAUUUACUGGGCGUAAAGGGCGCGUAGGCGGUGUGUCAAGUCAGGCGUGAAAGCCCCCGGGCUCAACCUGGGAACCGCGCUUGAGACUGGCACGCUGGAGUCCGGGAGAGGAUGGUGGAAUUCCCAGUGUAGAGGUGAAAUUCGUAGAUAUCAGGAGGAACACCAAUUGCGAAGGCAGCUCGCUGGAACGUAACUGACGCUGAAGACGCGAAAGCGUGGGUAGCAAACAGGAUUAAGAUACGGUA
rnacentral:rRNA from 1 species